AAUAGAUACCCGGGUAGUCCACGCCGUAAACGAUGAGUGCUAAGUGUUAGAGGGUUUCCGCCCUUUAGUGCUGCAGCUAACGCAUUAAGCACUCCGCCUGGGGAGUACGGCCGCAAGGCUGAAACUCAAAGGAAUUGACGGGGGCCCGCACAAGCGGUGGAGCAUGUGGUUUAAUUCGAAGCAACGCGAAGAACCUUACCAGGUCUUGACAUCCUCUGCCAACCCUAGAGAUAGGGCGUUCCCCUUCGGGGGACAGAGUGACAGGUGGUGCAUGGUUGUCGUCAGCUCGUGUCGUGAGAUGUUGGGUUAAGUCCCGCAACGAGCGCAACCCUUGAUCUUAGUUGCCAGCAUUCAGUUGGGCACUCUAAGGUGACUGCCGGUGACAAACCGGAGGAAGGUGGGGAUGACGUCAAAUCAUCGUGCCCCUUAUGACCUGGGCUACACACGUGCUACAAUGGAUGGUACAAAGAGCUGCGAACCCGCGAGGGUAAGCCAAUCUCAUAAAGCCAUUCUCAGUUCGGA
rnacentral:rRNA from 1 species